AGCGAACGCUGGCGGCAGGCUUAACACAUGCAAGUCGAACGCCCCGCAAGGGGAGUGGCAGACGGGUGAGUAACGCGUGGGAAUCUACCCAGAUCUUCGGAACAACUGAGGGAAACUUCAGCUAAUACCGGAUACGCCCUACGGGGGAAAGAUUUAUCGGUUCUGGAUGAGCCCGCGUUGGAUUAGCUAGUUGGUGAGGUAACGGCUCACCAAGGCGACGAUCCAUAGCUGGUCUGAGAGGAUGAUCAGCCACACUGGGACUGAGACACGGCCCAGACUCCUACGGGAGGCAGCAGUGGGGAAUAUUGGACAAUGGGCGAAAGCCUGAUCCAGCCAUGCCGCGUGAGUGAUGAAGGCCUUAGGGUUGUAAAGCUCUUUCAGUGGGGAAGAUAAUGACGGUACCCACAGAAGAAGCCCCGGCUAACUUCGUGCCAGCCGCCGCGGUAA
rnacentral:rRNA from 1 species